ACCUGGCUGGCUCAGUUGGUAGAGCAUGUGACUCUUGAUCUUGGGGUUGUGAGGUUGAGCCCCACGUUGGGUG
rnacentral:tRNA from 1 species